rnacentral:lncRNA from 13 species
AAAGAAAAAUCAUUGGAAUCUUAAAAAAAAUUGUGAAACAUAAAAAAAAGGGUUUCGUAGUUAAUAAUCAUCAUCAUCAUUACAUAUCAAGCCUAUGAUAUGACACACCGUGUUUAAUUAAAAAACUAGACAAUGAGAACAUUUAAGAUAUUUCCUUAAUUUCUUGAAGUCCAUUAUCAGUUCAGAUUGAAGAGAUUGAUCCUCACAAAAAAAUAUAGAGAAACCUAAAGCAGAAGACCUGAUGAGAUAUUCAGGAUAAUGCCGUUACAUGAGGUGUUGCAUGAGGUGUUGCACUUCUCUGUGUGCUCCAGACUGAUCCCAACAUUGUAACUAUAAAUCCCUAAUCAUCAAUGAUUUACCAUAAAUCAAUACAAGUGUCAGUACUGCUACCUUUAUGUCUGUCAAUAAUGGUAUACUAUCAUUUCCAACAACACAUAAAUAUAAAUAUCUAUCUCUAUGUAAAAUAACAGACAGCAGCAUAGAAGUGGCAUGACAGAACAGAAUAGAAGAGACCUGUGGCCGUUCCACAUACAAACCCUCAACUCCAUUGGUGCUACGUCCCAAUUGGCACCCUAUUCUCUACAUAGUGUACUGCUUUAAGUAGUUAUAUAUGAAAACUGCUUUAAGUGGUUAUGCAGGAAAACUACUUGAAAUAGUUAUAUAUGAAAACUGAUUUAAGUAGUUAUAUAGGAAAACUGCUUUAGGUGGUUAUUCAGGAAAAGGGCUGCCAUUUGGGACAUACAAUAUUAACUUUGAGAAAAAUGUAGUACCAUUAUUUUAGGAGCAGAGCUGAAUGCAUAAUUUCAGACCUAAUCAUAGUUCACACAUAUUUAACCAUAUCUUUAUACAAUCUAAUCAUAGUUCUCAACCCACUUUGGGUAGGGGGCAGUAUUUUGAGUCAGUCGGUUAACCUCUCUUGGGUAGGGGGCAGUAUUUUGACGUCCAGAUGAAAAGCGUGCCCAAAGUAAACUGCCUGUUACUCAGGCCCAAAAGGAUAUGCAUUUAAUUGGUAUAUGUGGAUAGAAAACCCUCUAAAGUUUCUGAAACUGUUAGAAUUAUGUCUGUGAGUAUAACAGAACUGAUAUGACAGGAGAAACCCCGAGGACAACCCCCAAAAAAUAACAUUUGGCCUACCACUGGCUGUCACUUUUAUUAUAAGGAAAAAACCUCCCAGAUUGCAGUUCCUAGGGCUUCCACUAGAUGUCAACAGUCUUUAUAAAAAGUUUCAGGGUGGUUUUAGGAAAAAUUAGUUAGAAGUUUUUCUAAGUGGCUCCCAUUUUGGCUGUAGUGUUUCCAUGCGCUUGGAGGAAAGCGAGUUCUUUGUUAUUUAUCUCCGGUAAUGAACAUACUAUUCUUCGUCUUAAAUUUGAUUGUUUAUUUACGUAUUAGGGUACCUAAGGUUUGAUUAUAAACGUUAUUUGACUUGUUUGGAUAAGCUUAUUGGUAACGUUUGGAUUCAUCUUGUCUGCAUUUUGAAGGAGGGAAACCAGUGGAUUAUUGACUGAAGCGCGCCAGCUAAACAGGUGUUUUUAUGGAUAUAAAGGACUUUAUCAAACAAAAGGACCAUUUGUGAUGUAACUGGGACCUUUUGGAGUGCCAACAGAAGAAGAUCUUCAAAGGUAAGGCAUUUAUUAUAUCGCUAUUUCUGACUUUUGUGUCGCACCUGCCUGAUUUAAAAAUGUUUUUCAUGGUUUUGUAUGCGGGGCGCUGUCCUCAUAUAAUUGCAUGGUGUGCUUUUUGUCGUAAAGCCUUUUUGAAAUCUGACACGUCGGCUGGAUUAACAAGAAGUUAAGCUUUAUUUUGAUGUAUUACACUUGUAUUUUCAUGAAUGUUAAAUAUUAAUAUUUCUGUAGUUUGAAUUUGGCGCUCUGCAAUUUCACCGGAUGUUGUUGAGGUGGGUCGCUAGCGGAACGCCUUAGCUAGAAAGGUUCAACCAUAUCUUUAUGAAGCUCAGCUGGUUGA